rnacentral:siRNA from 1 species
AGUCAGGUGUGGUUGUUCUUAGG